GACGAACGCUGGCGGCGUGCCUAAUACAUGCAAGUCGAGCGGAUCGAUGGAAGCUUGCUUCCUGAGAUCAGCGGCGGACGGGUGAGUAACACGUGGGCAACCUGCCCCUAAGAUCGGGAUAACUUCGGGAAACCGGAGCUAAUACCGGAUAGGACUUUUCUUCACAUGAAGGGGAGUGGAAAGACGGUUUCGGCUGUCACUUAGGGAUGGGCCCGCGGCGCAUUAGCUAGUUGGUGAGGUAACGGCUCACCAAGGCGACGAUGCGUAGCCGACCUGAGAGGGUGAGCGGCCACACUGGGACUGAGACACGGCCCAGACUCCUACGGGAGGCAGCAGUAGGGAAUCUUCCGCAAUGGACGAAAGUCUGACGGAGCAACGCCGCGUGAGUGAAGAAGGUUUUCGGAUCGUAAAACUCUGUUGUCAGGGAAGAACAAGUACCAUAGUAACUGAUGGUACCUUGACGGUACCUGACCAGAAAGCCACGGCUAACUACGUGCCAGCAGCCGCAGUAAAAC
rnacentral:rRNA from 1 species